CUCUUUCACUCAUUUAUCACUCUUUCCUAUACCAGUAUCAGGCAGGUGGGAUGGGCUUGCAUCGAAAGUGAAAGUUCUCUUUUGUUUUCGCGAUAAGAAGUGUUUUUUCAACUAGCUUUCCCAUAACCUGUUGUUAGGCGGAUCGAGUACCGAUUGAAUGAUGCACCUACCCAACGACCAUAACGAAUUUCCUAGUCAAAUGAUUUAAUGAAGGGUUGGUGAUAUUUACUAAAAAGAACCUUUUCUAUUGUAGAGUUCUUUAUAUGGUUCAUGCAACAUCAAUACUCCACAGGAUCCAUCGGUUCAAGGCCAUUGAUUAGUUCAGGGACAACAACUGUCAACUGCUCCUGGCAUGCCUACUCGAAUGUUGCUUCAAUCGAUGAUGGCGCACCGAAAUAAACCUCCUCUUUCUUUUUUUUUAGGGGUGGGAGAGUAGUGGCUAGGCCUUUCUUAAUGAAAAGGUCGAGAGUAUCAGAUCAAGAUCUCGAUCUCGACGGAUUCCGGUUACCAAGCUCUGAACCUCGAUCACUCAAUUCAGGCUAGUCCAUGAGAUCGGGGAGGUAUCUUCGAUAAGAAGUUUGGUCUUCGCUAUUUACUCAGUUCAAGUGUCCCCCGUGAUAUGAGCACCAGAGCCAGGUAUAGCGCAGAGGUGGUUGUUUCAUCCGUUUAUCGAAUUGAUCCCAUGAAACCAGAAGCAGAGGGAGCAGCCGAUGCUAGCCAGCACGUGAACUUAUGAACGGACUAUCUCUCUCACUUUGAGUGCCAAUGAAGAAGAAGCGGGGAACCUGACCUAACUGUAAAAAAAAAAAAGAAAGAAAGAAGAAACAUAGAUUGAAUGGGGAGGAAAGAAAGGUUUGUAAACAAAGUCUUUCCCUGCGGAUGCCCGCCCGACUUACUCUCGAUCGGUAGUCUUUCCGAUCACCAGCCGCCCUGGUUCUUAGUAUUGAGAAUUCGAGAUUUGGUCUGUCGUCCUCCUCAUUAUAGUCCUCCUAAGCCGUGAUAUAAGUAAAUUAUUCAUUCGCUUUGUUAGUUAAUCCACCUUUUUCCAAGUAGCGGGAUCUGUACUACUUGGAAUGGCUCUUUCAUAUCGAGGAACUAGGGACGUUUCCAAUACCGACUGCAGCUCCCCUCCUGCUCAGUCCGGAAAUCCCCUUUGUUCUUUCCAAGAAAUAAGUGACAAACAAUAGGAGAAAGGAGUGUGUAGGAUUAAUAGUGGUCGUGCGCGAGCUGCCCCAGCUCGCAACUCAUCCGGAGAAUGAAUCCCUGUGUUGAUGAUCUACUAUUUGAUUCAAGAUCUAGGUGAUUCACCCCCAUUGAAUUUCACUAGUGUCAAAAUCAGUCGGGAAUCUGAAAUGACGGAACAAGCCGCCUCUGGAGGUUCUGCUUUGCCGCAGAUCCAACUCAAGUUUCGCCCCGAACCUCCCCUUGCCCAUCCUGUUUGAUUCUGAUUGUGGGGCAUUCCAUGCACCUGCUGGAAGAGGGUUCCCCGUGGGCUGGGAGAGCGGCCUGGACGACUCUUCACUCUCCUUCAGCCGAUUCAGAUACUAAAUUGUAUCUCUUGGAGAGAGGUGCAGAAGCUCCCCCUUUGACUCAGGGGGGCUGUUCGCCUUUUGUGUUGAAGGCGGUCUCAUGGACCCGUUUUGGUACUUGAACUUUCUUUAGUUUAUUUUCAUUUUAGUAGCACGACAGUAGUUCGGUAGCGCUUUUGGAAUAUUGAAUUUGGCUAUAAGUAGGCUGUUUGCUAUAAGGGCUGCUCGCCUUUUUCUAGAACUUCAAGUAGGCUUCGCUAUAGCUCCUAUUGGUUGGUCGGCCUACUAUGAAAUUCAGUCUUCCUCCUAUACCAGAAUGCCUACAGACUAGAAGCAAAGCCCAAAGGCUCAAACUACUUUGGACCCGUAUACUUAAGACUACUUUGGCAAUUGCAGAGACAUGCAUAAUAACCAAUAAGUCAAUGAGAUUGCAUGUGAUUAUAAUUGCGUAUACAUUAUAUAUAUAAAAGCUCGGUACAUAGCACUCGGCCUCACCCAUUGGAUGAGGCCGAGCAACUCGGCUGAGUCCGAGUUGCCUUGGCGGAGUCCAAAUAAUGUUGGUUUGUCCUUUAUUCUUGGUUGUAGAUAUGUAGCAGUAAUGUAGUUGACUUUAUCUCAUUUAUAAGUUACUUGAAAGAAAAAUCUCAUCUAACAUGAGAAUUCUUCCCUCAAUGUCAUUUUGUAGGAGAGGGUAGGUAAGGGUAGGAGGGACACCAUUAACUAUUGGAGGGGCGACUCAGUUGCUUUUGCUUUUCCAUAAUUUAACAAAGGCAAACAGGGAUUGAAAUCUCGACGAGUCGGCAGGGAAUCGACUGAUCAAUCUAGGAAUCGGUGAUCUCGUGCCAAUUCUAGCAUAAAACGUGGAAUCGGACGAUCUCGAUCUUGAUGGAUUCUGAUUACCAAGCUCUGAACCUAGAUCACUCAAUUCAAGCUAUUCCAUGAGAUCGGGGAGGUAUCUUCGAUAAGAAGUUUGGUCUUUGCCAUUUACUUAGUUCAAGUGUCCCCCAUGAUACAAGCAUCAGAGCGAGGUAUAGCGCAGAGGUGGUUGUUUCAUCCGUUUAUCGAAUUGAUCCCACGAAACCAGAAGCAGAGGGAGCAACCGAUGCCA
rnacentral:lncRNA from 1 species